UGUUUUCUCCCAUUUUGUUUUUGCCCUAGCCCGCUCCCAGAGGCCAGAUCUGAAUUCCUCACUCCUCAGCGGCUCAGCUUCUUCUUGCCGAAAAACCUCUCGAGUCUCGACUGUCUAUCUCAAUCCGGCCUCCGCCUCUCGGCUCUCUCACUUUUUCUGUCUCGCCGUUUCGCAGCUCCCCUCUCCCCGUCUCAAUCUCCAACUCUCUUACGAGUUACGACUGUCUCUGUCUAUCUAAGAACUUGGUAUGUUUGUAAUUUUUGAUUCAACAUGACAGUCUCAACAUUUACAUGACUGUCUAUUUUAUUUUUGGACAACCGCACCUUGGAAAUUUUCCUUUAGCCCGUGAUUUGGGGGAAAGUGAUCAUUAAGUGAAAUUUCUUUUAGAGUUCUGUUGCUGAAGAAUCUUUAUUGCUUUAUUGUGACAUCUUUAUUGCGACAUCUAUAUUGCUACAUGUGUACUAUAUAUUUCAAAGUCAUAAUCUUUGUUGAAAUGCUUAAAUUUCUUUUAGGGGAAAGUGAUUUGGGGGAAAGUGAUCAUCAAUGUGACAAUUUUGUGUUAUCUUUAUCACUUUUAAAUUUCCCCUAGCACAUUCACUUUUAAGUUUUAAGCAUUUCAAAUCUCUGUUGAAAACUCUCAAAGUCAUAAUUUUCAGCCCCAAGAUUUCCAAGUUUCCCCAUAUAUACCAUGAAAGAUCCCUAGCCUGUUAAUAUUUGAUGUGUCAAUGAGGUACUGGUUAGAUGCUCUUUGAAUGGAGAAUGAUAUCAUGAAACAUUUUUUUUAUGGAUGAUUUAUGUAGUAGUUGGAUAGAUAUAGUUGGUAUGCAUUAUGAUUGGCAGAAUCCACUAAAUUAUGAAGAUUGAUUUCAUAAUAUAAGUGGGUUAUAAUUUGGUUUAAUAGUUCCAAGUUUGGAUAUGCACUUUUGAAUCAACAAGUACACUUGAGUUUUUUCUUUUUCAAAUUUCACUUGUUAUAGGUAAUUGGUUUUGGGGAUUGCGCAUUGAUUACGCUGUUAUUGGAAAUUUCAAAAUACCAUGAUUUUUUUUCUUUCUUUCUAAUUUAUAGCUAUCAUUCAUAUAUCCCUCAUUGAGUAGUUUUUGUUUUUAUACAUUUUGCAUGCACAGUUUUAAUCAUUUUGAUUACAGUUUUGAGAUGUCUUUUUUUUAGAACACAUUUAUAGAUUUCUUUAAUUGCUUUUCAAAUUUGUAUUUCUUUCUGUGUUUUGCAGCUAUUCCUAUAUAUACAAUAAAAUUUGUAGAUUCACCUUGAAUACAAUAAAAUUGAUCUAAACAUCAAUCCCCCCGAAGAAUUCAAAAUUCUUAGAAACAGUUUCGCAUUGUAUAGAUCAUCACUCUAUUACUAGGGAGAUCAGAGAUUAAUAGUAUGGAAUAGAUAGAUAAUGCAUUCUCUUAAUUCAAUAGACAGCCACAUGAAGAACAACCUUAUCUAUUGAAGUAAGAUCUGCUAUGGAUACUUAUAUUUUGAAUUGUUUGACAGAAAAAGGUUUCUAUCAUGACUUCACAUCUAGAAUGUUAAAUUAAACUGCUGAGCCAUGUGUGCAUGUGCAUGUAGGAUAAGAUGAAGAUGGUUUGCCCAUGCGCAAGCCUUGUAAGUUCAUGAAGGGGACUGAUAUGACCCAAAUAAGGGAUAAUGGGAUGGCAACAAUAUACCAAAAUACAUCUCUAAUAAAAUCCCAAAAGACAUGACACGCGGGGCUUAAUUGAGGCUCAGUUUGUUGUUUUGGGCUUGAAUGAUUAUUAGCUAGAUUUUAAACUAUUCUUAUUUCCGUUGGUGUUUAAAAAGCUGUGUUAUAUAUUCCAUGUAUACGGUAUACUCUAUUACAAAAAGUGUAAUUAAAUACUCAAUCAAGGAAAUGCAUUUACAUGGGUUUGUUUUAUGGGCUCUUCUAAAUGUGGGAACUGUUCUCUAUUACUUGGCAGUAGGCAAUUGUAUCAAUUUGCACUCGACAUGUCUUGUUGAAUAUGCACCCAGCAAAUGUUUUAUUGUAUGCCUUGCUC
rnacentral:lncRNA from 1 species